GGAAAGAACUACAGAAUUCACUGUUCUGUGCACAAUGUGGAAGUCCCAGUCGACUUCAGCAUCACAAAGAAGAUUGAGAGCAUUCUCCAGGAGGCAGAUUUCAAUGACAAGAGAGCCAGAUCCAUGGACAUUGAUGACUUCAUGGUAUUGCUCCAUGCAUUCAACUCUGCAGGAAUCCACUUUUCUUAAAUGGCUCAGAAGUUUAAAUCCUCCAGCUAUGUCCUGAGUGACCACAGAAGUGUGAAAAAUCACUUUUCUGCAGUGAAAAUCCUCUGACUUUUGUGUGUUGAGGCCUCAAUUGCAUUGAGCAGGGACUUUUUUAAAAUACUUCUGUUGACUUUAAAAACCUCCACUUGCAACAGAGUACCUUGAGUAUAAUG